rnacentral:rRNA from 1 species
UCUUCCGCAAUGGACGAAAGUCUGACGGAGCAACGCCGCGUGAGUGAUGAAGGUUUUCGGAUCGUAAAACUCUGUUGUUAGGGAAGAACAAGUACCGUUCGAAUAGGGCGGUACCUUGACGGUACCUAACCAGAAAGCCGCGGCUAACUACGUGCCAGCAGCCGCGGUAAUACGUAGGUGGCAAGCGUUGUCCGGAAUUAUUGGGCGUAAAGCGCGCGCAGGGGGUUUCUUAAGUCUGAUGUGAAGGCCCCCGGCUCAACCGGGGAGGGUCAUUGGAAACUGGGGAACUUGAGUGCAGAAGAGGAGAGUGGAAUUCCACGUGUAGCGGUGAAAUGCGUAGAGAUGUGGGGGAACACCAGUGGCAAAGGCGACUCUCUGGUCUGUAACUGACGCUGGGGCGCGAAAGCAUGGGGAGCGAACAG